AUGAGAAAAGGAUUGGGUUUUAAUAAGAAAGUUUCUUGUUAUAUGGAGAUACAGAGCAGAAAUUGUUUUUCACUGUUUCAGCAAUGUGAUGUCGUAGCUUGUGCCAAUUAUGCAGCUAAUUAAAAUUAUGAAAUUCAAAAACAGAUAUGUCCCUCCAGAAAAGCCUUUCACAAUAUAGAAAUGCCAUUGAAAUCGUGCCUGAAAAGAUUAGUCGAACAGAAUGAAUACCAAUUUCAGCUGGUACAUAUUCCUCAUUCAUGGAAAUGUGCCUAAAUAUAGAUUCAAACUGAGUGGACAUGUUUUUUUUUUUUUAGUGGACAUUAUUAUUUUAAAACUGUAAACAAAACUGUAAACAGAGGCCCCACAUUUAAAUUUUUUGGUAAAUGCUUGUCAAGCUGUCAUUACAUUGUUACUGGUCAAAGAGAGUCUACUUACGCCUGGCCAACAGAGGGCGCAAUGAGCCUAGUAUUUCAGAUGCAUCGCAUUGGUAGCUUUGUGAUUCUAGAAACUUCGUCAGAAUGCGAGCGGGCAGGUCACAGAUUUGAGGUGACAGACGUGGCUCUGGCAGGUCGUAUUCCUGGUAGGAGACUCUUAUGUUGCGUAACUGGCCCCCCUGUGACUCCGUACCGAGCCAGAUCCCUGCAGCCUCUCUUUCCUUUUCAGGAAAAAGGGGGGGAGAGAGGGGCUAAGCGUUGUGGAUUCCUCUGUUUAAUCCUCACUUAAAUCCAUUGACACCCCCGCUUGGGAAAAACGGUCUCCGGCCCUAUCGCGGAUCAGCCCCGGGCCGGAUGGCGGUAAUUAGUCUUGCCCCCCAUCAAAGGGGUGGAAGCACGGAGACCUGGGCAGAGUGGCUGUGCCUGACAGGACUCCCACGCUACAGAAUGCACCCCCUAUUACCGCCACUCGGGAGGAACAAGCCCUCUCUUUCAGGGUUGCCGGGGGCCAAAAGACUGCUGAACCCCAGGGGGUCUAACGUGAUUACCCCCCCCUUCCCUUCACCCACCCCCACCCUUUAUACCCAAGCUCACAAGAAAAGAGAUGGCUGAAAACAUUUGGUAUUCUGGAUUAAACCAAAUUACUGGCUACGUCCAACAUUAAUUGAGCUGCUCCCCACCACCCCCAACCUUAAAAGUGUUCUCUGUUGAUAUACAGGGGCUUAUCUGAAAUGUAAAACAUUUGGGACGAAAAUGGAUGAGUAUGAACCCCUAUACAACAAUGCAAAUGCUGUCAUUACAGAUGGAAAGCUUGGCAUGGUUACUUUAAAGGCUGUAAUACUCAAUAACCUGCCCAGUGGUCACUUACAAUUGUGUGUGUACCUGACAUGGAUUCCAACCUGUUUUUAAUGUCAUGCUUCCCAGAUCGGGAGAAUGAAAAUUCCACAAUGACAAGGGGCUCUGUUUUGACAGUCCAACGGUUUGUAGCGCAGUGGUUGAAAUGGAGCAUAUUAUCUUGAAUAA